CAGUAUGCCUCAGAACCUCAGUAUGAAAGUCUUCCGUGCUUUGGUCUGUUUCAUCUUUCUUGCAGGACUGCAGGAUGCAGGAUACUCUGGUUUUGUUAAUGCAGAAACUCCCAUCUAUACAGAAAUGGAGGGUGGAAGCAUCACAGUUAAAUGCACAUUUUCUUUAACUGGAAGAAGGAGACUCUUCUGUACGGGAAAAUGUGAAGAAGGAAACAUUCUCAUUGACACAACUGAUGACUCAGCGCAGAAUGGCAGAUACAGCAUUAAAUAUAAAGAAGGAUUUUAUCCAUUACAUAAGACAGUUCUGAAUGUGAGCAUCACACAGCUGAGAAGAUCUGACUCUGGAAUGUACAGAUGCUCUUUGGACAGAAUUUUGCCAUUUGAUUCAAAUGAAGAAUUUGAGAUUGUUGUCACAGACGCUUCAGUGACCUCAAAACCAAAGUCUACUGUGCAACCUUCGCCAGUUUCAACAUUUUUCUCAUCAGCCCCCAUGACAACAGCAACGGUGACAACAUCACCAAAGACCCCAACAUCACAGAGUUUAAAUUCCAUUUCAGGAGGCACCACACCUUCACCAGCCUCCUCUUCAACCUCCAAACAGACACAG